rnacentral:tRNA from 1 species
GGGUAUAUAGUUCAGUUGGUAGAGUUUAUCUAACAUGUACAAAGACCUGGGUUCAAUCCCCAGACCCA